AUGGCAUGGUGGAAGCUCUGUAUUCCAAAAAGUGAAGGAGGUAUGGGCUUUAGAGACCUAUAUUCUUUUAAUCUAGCUAUGUUGGCUAAACAGUGCUGGAGACUCGUCACUGAUCCAGAUUCUUUGGUGGCGAGAGUUUUAAAAGCUAAAUAUUAUCCUAAUGGAAGCAUUCUUACUGCUACUCCAAAAAAUGGGUCAUCCUUUACUUGGCAAAGUAUCCUUAAGGGACUGGAAACUUUUAAGAAAGGGUAUAUUUGGAGAAUUGGGACUGGGGAAGAAGUGAAUAUAUGGAAGAAUCCUUAG
rnacentral:rRNA from 1 species